GUGCUGCGCGCUCAGUAACAUUAACGUGAGGCUUAUAAGCCCACAGGACAGCAAUGUCCGCGCACACACAAGCACACACACACACGGGCGCAUUACAAUGAAGGGAAGCGACGGCAAAGUUUAACGAUACGUGGUGGCGAUGUGCAGUGUUGUUAGCUGUAGCUUAGCCUUGCGGAAGGCGGACAGGCCCUAAAUCCUCGGUGUGGCAGUUGCGGAGAGGCGGGGAGACGUGCGCGCGGUCCGGGCUUCGGCGGGAGUCGCGUGGCGCUACGCUCCGAUGGACGGUUGUGACAGGACGAUUAGUUUGAAAGAUGAUGACAGUGGGGACCACGACCAGGACCAAGGCACACCGAAAGACAGUGAGACGGAAAGAACUGAAGACGAGGACCAGAGCCUCUCCAAGAAAAAGAUGGUGGUGCCAGCGGCCGGAGAGCACCCUCUUCAAUACAACUACACCUUCUGGUACUCCAGACGCACCCCGGGGAGACCAGCCAGCACCCAGAGCUACGAGCAGAACAUUAAACAAAUUGGCAGCUUCGCCUCGGUGGAGCAGUUCUGGCGUUUCUAUAGUCACAUGAUCCGGCCCGGUGAUCUGACGGGCCACAGUGACUUCCACAUCUUCAAGGAGGGUAUCAAACCGAUGUGGGAGGAUGACGCCAACAAGAUGGGUGGGAAGUGGAUCAUCCGCCUGAGGAAAGGCCUGGCGUCGCGUUGCUGGGAGAACCUGAUCCUGGCCAUGCUCGGGGAGCAGUUCAUGGUUGGAGAGGAGAUCUGUGGGGCCGUAGUGUCAGUACGCUUCCAGGAAGACAUCAUCUCUAUUUGGAACAAAACGGCAAGCGACCAGUCAACCACGGCCCGCAUCAGAGACACGCUGCGCCGAGUCCUCAACCUGCCGCCCAACACCAUCAUGGAGUACAAGACUCACACAGACAGCAUCAAGUAUGUAUGUCUUAUCGUUUUAUUAUUUUCUCUCCCUUUCUCUCUAACAAAUAGAUCUAUACAUGCUCACAAAAUACACAUUUCUGUUGGCAAUUACUUGUUAUAAUGAAUUCAUGUUGCUUCAAAGACCAGAUAAUAAUGAAUAAUAUAUUUUUUUUUCUGACAUUUUGUAGAUCAAACAUUUUAGCUAAUAAGUCAUCAUCAUUAUAAUUGGUAAUGGAGGAUUGUUAUUUGCAGCAUUAUUUUGGAGUAUAAUUUCUUAAUACAGCCUUGUCGGUAACCACCAUGUUUCAUAACAUUCGUGUGGUAGUGAUUCUCCCUUUAAACAGACCUUAAUAUCCAGGCCGGUUGUUUAUUUUGAAUGAUGAUGUGCUGCAUCCCAUGUUGGCAGAGCAUGGGAAGACUUCCAUGGACUGGUGAAUGUUAGUGGCGGCCAGUAGCCUCUCACACGGACCACCUCUGCAAGAGUGUGUGUAUCCGUGCAGUGCUGGAGGGGGACGACGAGUCCAGGCAAGCAUCCUUCUACGUGGAUUGGCGCUGCAUAACAUGAAGACUGAGCCAUAGUCAGUCGCAGUGAAAAGAACACCAUUCCUUCUUUGUGUCAAAUUGGAAAGGGACAGGAAAGGCCUGUCCCAGAACGUUGAACCAAGCCGUAGAGAGAAUUAUGCGUUAUUUUUAAUCAACCAGAGAAGAACAAAGCCUCCAAUUUCAUUUUAUUUUUUUAAUGGAAGAUGUAACAUCUGUUAACUUUCCACCAGAGGAGGCCAUGUGACUGGUGUUUGCUGACGAUUAGUGUUGAAAAGUGUACUUGACAAAUCACAACGAAGCCGAUGUGUUGUAGUAUUGAUGAGAUUUUAUUGCUUAGCAUAACAUCACACCUCCUGCGGUUUCAAAAGGCUGUGUUAAUGUUCCUCAGACAGGGUUGCAGGAAGAUUUUAUUUUAUUACAAUGCUGUAUUUUAACUACAAUUUCUCUGGUCAUUUUGAACUAGAACGAUGACUAUUACUGUGUACGAUAUAUUUGUACAUACAGUCCACUUUAAAGAUCACUUUACUUAAUCAGCAAUGAUUCUCCAUCGUUGACUUUGGAAGUUGAAUCCCAAAGGAUGAGGACCAUCCUGUGUUGGGCAGAAGGUUGUAUAACUGGCAUCUUAAGAAUGGACUGCCGAGCUGCCUAAAUCACUGUGCCUGGCCUCCAGCCCGACCCGAACCAGUUUCCCCUUCUGUCCGUGUCGUCUUCAUCCCGCCUUGAAAGAAUGCAAGGGAUGGGCUCUGCUUUAAAUGUCCUCAAACAAAUGUGCAUAGGAGUCCUGCAAAGCGGGCCGUCACUCCUUUUCCAUUUUGUAAUGAAACAAAUGAAAUUGGGCUCCCGGCCAGCGUCCUUUACCGUUUCUAUCAAUUCCAUGGGGGCAUUAUUUUUGAUUCAUGUCAAGAAAGCGCCUAUUGUUUGUUGAAAAACUGAAAUGCUGCCUGUGUUUGGUGGUGCCAUGAUGGGUGCGGGUGUGUGUCACCUGAUAGAUUAUAGCAAUAAAUGUCAAAUAUGCAUCUGCUGCUAAA